rnacentral:rRNA from 1 species
AACGAACGCUGGCGGCAUGCCUAACACAUGCAAGUCGAACGAGACCUUCGGGUCUAGUGGCGCACGGUUUCGUAACGCGUGGGAACCUGCCCUUAGGUUCGGAAUAACUCCCCGAAAGGGGUGCUAAUACCGGAUAAUGUCUUCGGACCAAAGAUUUAUCGCCUUGGGAUGGGCCCGCGUUGGAUUAGCUAGUUGGUAGGGUAAAAGCCUACCAAGGCGACGAUCCAUAGCUGGUCUGAGAGGAUGAUCAGCAACACUGGGACUGAGACACGGCCCAGACUCCUACGGGAGGCAGAAGUGGGGAAUAUUGGACAAUGGGCGAAAGCCUGAUCCAGCAAUGCCGCGUGAGUGAUGAAGGCCUUAGGGUUGUAAAGCUCUUUUACCCGGGAUGAUAAUGACAGUACCGGGAGAAUAAGCUCCGGCUAACUCCGU